CACACGACUCUCGGCAACGGAUAUCUCGGCUCUCGCAUCGAUGAAGAACGUAGCGAAAUGCGAUACCUGGUGUGAAUUGCGGAAUCCCGUGAACCAUCGAGUCUUUGAACGCAAGUUGCGCCCGAGGCCAUCCGGCCGAGGGCACGCCUGCCUGGGCGUCACGC
rnacentral:rRNA from 1 species